rnacentral:misc_RNA from 1 species
CACGCGCUCCUCACGUUUCGGCUAUGCUUGUACGUCCCUUGAGGAAAGAGCACCCGCGCACGCCUUCGCUCUCGUUUCCGGUGCCGAAUUCGAGAAAAUGCACAGGCACAACGACCUAAACCCAGCGCCCAUCACAGCAGACUACUCGAGCAGCACACCACCUGUCGCUCAAGGAUAGACUUUCCGGCGCUGCCGAGCCCCGAAUGGGGCACGUGCGAGCUACACAGGCUGCACAGCAAUCGAAAAGCCACUAUUGCCGAACGCGCGGCGGAGCUGUCGAAGCUGUUCGGCAAGUGCCCUCAGUACGAUGAACGCGCUCCUGAGCCGAUCUCGGCCUCCAGAAGUAGACCAUCUUCGGAGUGCCGCAUGCGUAGCGUGUUGCUGAGGCAGAAGCCCAAGGCAACCUUUUACCUACUGGAGACAGUUGCGCGUAGCCGCGGCACCAAGAACGUCUCCGGCGCACACUAAUUCAUUGAUCCAGCGGCGGCACGUGACAGCCGUAGGUCAGCGGAGGGAGACGUCUCCACGUAGUGUUCGUGUUCCCGUAGCCUACGAUCCAAUAGGCCGUCGAGAAUGGCGGGAGGCGGCCCAUGCACUCCUCGAAAGUUCAGAGCUGGAAAAGGGGGGCCAUACUGCUCCGUGUCCGUGCAGUCACGGCAUUCGUUGUCUAUUGAGUGCGGUUGUACUGGCAGCAGUCGCGUCUGUGUAGAAAAAAAAAAACAGAACGAAGAGCCCUCUUUUCACGAGGCACGACAGAUGCGAGUCUGCA